CGAAAGAAACAAGCAACUCGCUCUCUGAAAACAGGCCCGAAACAACAGGCAACUUGGGAAUUUGCAAGUGACUUUACAAACACAAGCCCAAAACAACAGGAAACAUGAGAAUUUGCAAGCAUCUUUACAAAAAACAAGCCCAAAGUUGUUUUGGAUAGGUGAAUCUGGCAUCGCUGGCUUUGUUUAUACGUGACGUAACGGGUCAAGCGGAGCCAAACUUUUACCCACGCUGAUAGGAGCAUAAGCGUUUUGCAAGGCACACAGCGUAUGGCCAAUAAUCACAGUCCAAAUAAACAGGGACGUCACGCUGGGGUGUGAAAACUGGAGAAAACAAAUUAUUUCAAUAAUCUAACUAAUUUAGUGCAUGGAAACGUACUGACUUUGAUUACAAUUUAACUUGGUUUUUCAGCAUGAUGCACUCUUAGCAGGGACAUUUCUCCAUUUCCAGUAUAUUGGUCAAUAAUUGGGUGCCAAAGUUCAAGGGGUUCAGACCAGGUUGUGAUUACGUGCUGAGCAUUUAGUAGUGAUGAUCAAGGUCAGGUUAUGGGUGUAAUAUGUGCACUUCUUCAUUUACCACAGUAUACAUCAGAAGGCAGCUUUCUGACUGUAGCAUGAUGUCACUCACCAGUUUGGUUGACUUGGACGUCUCCAGGGUGUCUGUGGAGAUAGGAACGAGGACUCAGACCCAACAAAAAUGUUAAGUCCACAUGAAAUAUUCAGACACAGCUUGUUUGUCACCACUGUUAUUUCUAUUGUGUAUCAAUCUAUCGAGAUGAGAAUACGAUACCUCGUUUGGGAAGCUUGGUGGUGCUAGACUCAGGCGUCUCUGGGGACGUGGUGUCGGCACCAUCAUCAACCAGCUGGAUCUAAGUCACAAAGUGGCCGUCAGUAUCAUCUUCAUCCACUACAUGGACUUGAAUAUUGAGAUAUGGCUCUUAGAAAACAAUCCAUCAAACAACCAGAUGUUACACAACACCCCUUCGCUCCCAAAUUUGGAUAUUGUUUGCUUGAUUGGAAAAACAAAAACAGGAAUGCAGCCUGAAGCAGCGGAAAAUAUUGGAACUGUGCCGGCAGCAGAGUCACCUAACACCCACACAAGGCCGCUGCAUCAAUGUGGUGAAAUAGCGCUUGCCCUGCACCGUGCCGUCGUUCUUGCCUUUGGCCUCGUCCAGGAUGACGCCGACCCAUUUGCCUGAGGCGAAAAGCGUGGUGCCGAUGUAGGCCACCGUGCCGCGCUGCCCCUUGCCGAUCACCUCCACCAGGGAGCCCACCUUGGCAGGCCGGCCACCGCUGCCGCUGUCCGAGCUCAUCCUGACGCUGCUGGCAGUCUGCAGGAAUGCACAAAAUAAAGAACAGUGACAAUUCCACAAAAAGGAUCAGCAUCAUCAAGGGUUGAUAAGAGAAGAAAAAGAAUAUACAUCGCAAGUUACCUGACGUUAAGCAGACUGAUUUACUUUUACUAUUAACACUAUCUAACUUCUUUUCCCCUUGUGUGACCAUUAAUGUAAAAAAACAACAGACAGACCAGGGUCGUGUAUAAAAGUCCUCAAAUUCUCAUUACACCUUUGUCAUCACAGUGCGUUUUAUUGGUUUAUUUCUAUUUGUUUGACCAUUAACCGUACUUAACUUCUUUUUACACUUGCCUGACAGUUAAGAAAGUUCAAAUGUCACAUAAAAACAUUCCCUGGGAAAUUCAUUAAAGGAUUUAAAUCCAAAUGGUCUAAUAAUGAACAAGAGUGCAAGCGCCUGUUGUAGCCACCUAAAGGUUGUCAUUGUGCUGUGGGCAUUAUGGGAUGUUACAUAAGCAC